GUCACGGGAGGGGGCUGUGCGUGCUCGUGACGUCACUGGGGCGCCGUGUGGCCUCGUGACGUCACGGGAUGGGUGCUGUGCGUGUGCAUGUGACGUCAUGAGGCGGAGAGGGAUCGCUGUUGGUGCCCGUGAGGUCACAGGGAGGAGGGGGGCGGUGCUGAGGGUGCCCGUGACGUCACGCGCCGCCAUGUUGAGGAGGUGGCUGAGGGCAGAGCUGGUCCCGCCUUCCCCGUUUCCCUGGGCGGGCGCUGUCGCUGAGGGGUUUCCCUCCUCCGCGGGGCCAAAACCGAAAUAAAAGUUGUCUGAGGGCACAAACUGUGUCGUGUCAGUGCGCGUGGGGAGGGAGGAGGGCGGGGAAAUGGCGCCCGACGGGGAGAGUGCGGCCAAGGGGGGGCUGUGGUUGAGGAGAUGGAGUGCUCCGUGUGGGAGUCACGCCGACAGAAAACCGAUGGAACAGAGAAACGCUGGCAGUGAUUCCAUGUAAAGCAUUCCAAGAUGUGAGCGAGGAGCUCUUGGGAUGGUGCUGGAACUCUUGGAACUCCAGCUCUGCUCAGCAGCUGGACACGCUUUGUAUCCGUCACGAUAUUCCUGCCUGGAAAACGACGCUGCCUGAGCCAAGUAUGGAAACACUGGGGUGUUUUUAAUACCUGAUUUCACUGUACACACGGUCUGAUGCCACUUACAUGGAACAUCCCCUGGCUGGUUAAAGGAUGUUUGAUUCAUUAUUGUUCAUUAUUUGGCUUUUGUUGCUCAGCUCAGGCGCCCGAGUUCCCUCAUAAAAACGUCUCCGACACUUUUCCAAGCGUGGCCGUUGCAGCAC